GAUGAAGAACGUAGCGAAAUGCGAUACUUGGUGUGAAUUGCAGAAUCCCGUGAACCAUCGAGUCUUUGAACGCAAGUUGCGCCCGAAGCCACUAGGCCGAGGGCACGCCUGCCUGGGCGUCACACGCCGUUGCCCCCCCAUCUACUCCUUCGGGAUUGCGGGGGGGCGGAUGAUGGCCUCCUGUGCGCCUAGCCGCGCGGUUGGCAUAAAUACCAAGUCCUCGGCGACGCACGCCACGACAAUCGGUGGUUGCGAAACCUCGGUUGCCCGUCGUGUGCGUUCGUCGCGCAUCGAGGGCUCGAAAAAAUGCUCGGCUCCGGCUGGGCUUUCAACGCGACCCCAGGUCAGGCGGGGUUACCCGCUGAAUUUAAGCAUAUCAAUAAGCGGAAGA
rnacentral:misc_RNA from 1 species